rnacentral:misc_RNA from 1 species
AUGAAACUUCAAAGUCGGCCGACAGUUGUUGCUGGUGGUUUACUCCACAUGUGCACAUUGCCGGUCGCAAAUCCACACACACCUGUGCAUCUAUGACUCGAGGUUGUAAUGACUAAGAGUAAAUUUUACACACUCUUGUAUGUAACGGAAUGUCUUUUUGUGCUAUAAUGUACAAUAUAAA